AUCGAACGCUAGCGGGAUGCUUUACACAUGCAAGUCGAACGAGUGGCGGACGGGUGUGCAAUAUAUCGGAACGUGCCCAGUAGCGGGGGCUAACUCCUCGAAAGCGUGGCUAAUACCGCAUACUAUUGGAACGGCACAUAUCGGUUUAGCUAGUUGGUGGGGUAAAGGCGCACAAAGGCAACGAUCCGUAGCUGGUUAGAGAGGACGUCCAUACACACAUGGAAUGAGACACGGCCCAGACUACGACGAGAGGAAGCAGUAGGGAAUUUUGGACAAGGGGGGAGACACUGAUACAGUCAUCCCGCGUGUAUGAGAAGGCAUUCGGCUUGUCAAGUGCAUUUGGCAGAGAAGCGGUGCCUGCAGAAUAAGCAAAGGGUAACUACGGGCCAGCAGCCGCGGUAAUAC
rnacentral:rRNA from 1 species